rnacentral:lncRNA from 1 species
UUUUCUAUUUCUUUUAUUCUGUUUUGAAUUAGUAAAAAUACUAAUCCACUUUGUAAAAUCCUAAAAAUAAUUGUGGGUAGUGUUUGGAUUAUUUCCAACAACCCAAAACUAGUUUCAGAGUUAUUAGAGCAUUUAAAGAUAUUUAUAGGAUUUAAAUGCUCCAAUUCAAAUACGAUAUGAGUUAAUUCAAAGAUCGAGAAUGUCCUGGAAAUAUAUUCAUCAUUUUUGGCAGAGGUUUUCACCUUUAUCAAAAAUCAUGAACAUUUUCAAAGGAUAUUUUGGGAUCUCUGAAAAUAUUUUUACUGAGCCUAGUUAAAUUCAUUUGGUGCUAGGGUUUCAACAAUCCCCAUUUCAAGUUUCAUGAAAUUUAAACAUGAUGCAUGGAUGCAAUGCCACUAGUUACAAGCAAACUCUAGGGCUGUGACAACUCACC